rnacentral:rRNA from 1 species
GAUGAACGCUGGCGGCGUGCUUAACACAUGCAAGUCGAGCGAAGCACUUAUGACGAUCCUUCGGGUGAAUCAUUUGUGACUGAGCGGCGGACGGGUGAGUAACGCGUGAGUAACCUGCCUCAUACAGGGGAAUAACAGUUAGAAAUGACUGCUAAUGCCGCAUAAGCGCACAGGGCCGCAUGGCCCGGUGUGAAAAACUCCGGUGGUAUGAGAUGGACUCGCGUCUGAUUAGCUAGUUGGCAGGGUAACGGCCUACCAAGGCGACGAUCAGUAGCCGGCCUGAGAGGGUGAACGGCCACAUUGGGACUGAGACACGGCCCAAACUCCUACGGGAGGCAGCAGUGGGGAAUAUUGCACAAUGGGGGAAACCCUGAUGCAGCGACGCCGCGUGAGUGAAGAAGUAUUUCGGUAUGUAAAGCUCUAUCAGCAGGGAAGAAAAUGACGGUACCUGACUAAGAAGCCCCGGCUAACUACGUGCCAGCAGCCGCGGUAAUACGUAGGGGGCAAGCGUUAUCCGGAUUUACUGGGUGUAAAGGGAGCGUAGACGGCUUUGCAAGUCUGACGUGAAACUCCGGGGCUCAACUCCGGAACUGCGUUGGAAACUGUAAGGCUUGAGUGCCGGAGAGGUAAGCGGAAUUCCUAGUGUAGCGGUGAAAUGCGUAGAUAUUAGGAGGAACACCAGUGGCGAAGGCGGCUUACUGGACGGCAACUGACGUUGAGGCUCGAAAGCGUGGGGAGCAAACAGGAUUAGAUACCCUGGUAGUCCACGCGGUAAA